ensembl:lncRNA
UAUAUAUAUAUAUAUACAUACAUAAAUGUACACGCUCCUUUUGCAGCUUUAUGUCUCCAGUUGUACUUUUGCAAAGUGGCUGCUUCCGUCCCAGAAGGGGCUCUCCAGCCUUCUGCUGACUUAAAUGAACAGUGGAACACACAUACAGGAUUUUAGAAGGAAAACUGCUGUACCCGCUGCUAUCUAGUGCCUCCCUUAUCCCUUCAGCUUAUUCAGUCAUCUAUAAGAAGAAUGAAUCGCAGAAUGAUUGCCUUUGGGCUGCCCAGAACAGUGACAUUUGUCACAGAGGCCUUCAGAGCCCAGGGCCAACCUGGAAGGGUGCAUAAACCAGUUCAUCUCUAAGGCAGCUCCCAAAUGUCUUAAUCCAGCAAUUAUCUGUCUAAAUGAGGAUUAUUAGCAGAUCAUUAGCACAUUCAUUAACGGUAACAACGUGGCAUUAUGGAAAUUAACACUCACAAUCUCAGCUAUACUGAAGGCUCCUGGAAGUACCUUUAGUAGUCUCCUGCUGAAUCACAGACUUUUUCUACAUUUCUUGCUGCUGUAGGCAGUAGUUUUCAGCUCCUGAUGUGCCAAUUGCACUAACAAAUGUUUCACUUGUGUAAACGUUUUGACACGGAGCCAAUUCUUAAUCCCUUUCGAAAAUAGGAAGGUGUUGAAGUGAUGCACGUGGUACUUACUUUUGGAUUUAUGAUGACCUCGUAGUGGAAAUGCUAAGCCAUGGCCUGAAGCAGUGAUUGAGCACCUGGUGGGAAGGCAGGGCCAACCCAGGGGAGCUCAGGUGUAUGCAAUGCAGCUCAGUGACCCGACCUCGUUUAAGGGUUGGCAGUGGAGGUGAGGGUAUCUCACUGGAGAUCCCUGCCUACCUGAGGCCUUUUGAAGAAUCCCUCUCCGAAGGAUUUUCUAUCUCACAUCUUCUGAAGUAAACUUCAAACAUGAUUUGCAUGUUUGUCUUUGUGGACCAUUGGUGGGAGGGAGCAGUAGUUCAAAUGGAUGCAUUUUAUUGUUAUUUAUUUGUG